ACCUGGCUGGCUCAGUCGGAAGAGCUUGUGACUCUUGAUCCCAGGGGUCAUGAGUUCAAGCCCCAUGUGGGGUA
rnacentral:tRNA from 1 species